CUGCAGAAGACUCUCCAAAAUGAAUUUACAUGGCUUUUUGCAGGUGAAGGCAAAAAAAUUCAGGCCAUGCCCCAAGAAACAGAAGCCCAAAUCACCUCUGAACUGGAAGCCAUGGACUACUGGUUAGACUGGUGCUGAGCCUGAAUCAAUGAACUUUGCAGAAAGGCACUUUUGUCUUGAUCUUGGACUUCUACCACUCACAGCUGAGUGGUUUGUAAGCCCCAAGCCUAAGAAGAAUAGAAAUUAUUGCUGUGAUCAGUCCAUUAUAAGAAGAUUGCAUAUAGAUUAAGAAACAGAGGAUUUGUGGAGAACUCAAAUUUGCAGAAGAUUGAAGACUCAUUUAAGGACACUUGGAAGCCUUUUAUGGAUUAUAUAUACAAAACAGAUGUUACAUCUUAGAAAAACUGGGAGCUGACAGAGAUCCUCAGACCCUUCAGAAGCCAAGGACUGUGUCUUGGGAUGUUAGGAUUAAAACAAAGUUAAUUUAUUGCUUAGAUGCACUGAAUUAAAGGUAAGUGGUUCUUCAAUAUUUUUUUCUGUGUUUAUACUUGCAUUUCCUGCCACUAGGACUACUCCACAAGUUUCUUUUUAAUCUCUGCUUUUUAAGGUAGCUACGACCAUUAUUUGGCAACUUGCCUGUUUUGGAAUACUGCCAUUUAUUCCUUAUAUUUGCUGAUCCCUCUUUAAGUAUGUUGAACAUUUAAUUUGGAGGAUCUAAUUUUUAUCUACGCCUUUUACCAGCUAAUCGCUUGUUGUUGGAUCACAGUGGCUAUGGCUAGCUGUCGGUAGCUAAUUCCUUUAUUCCUAACCUUUUUAGGUAGAGAAAUGAUGGACUUUAAGGAAAUGUAUUAUGUGCAAGUUUUCCUUUCCUUUUUAAAGGAGGACUUCUUUGACUUAUUUUAUUUUUUAUUUUUUUUAUAGUAUAUGCCAACUGUUCUUUGCAUGACUUCAAAUAUUGUAGACUUUGAAGGGGAAAAGAGAAAAAAAAUACUUUUGGAAUUAGGACAGAAAAAGGAGAAUCAGAAAACUCAUAUAACUCAUAUUCAGUUUCUUCAUUAACACUGAAUUGGUGUUUAACCAGUCCCAGAUCCUAAUCUCUCAGUCUUUACACUUGCAUUUGUAAACUAGACUUUUCUGGGGGUUGUCUUCUGUAUUUAGCUUUUUUUUUUUUUCUUUUUUUUUGGGUGGUGGUAGUGGUGGAAAGAUGGUUAUCUCAUUAAAAUAUUUCAAGUGCAAAAGAAUAUUUUGGAUAUUUAAGUAUGACUGUACUGUUUAUUAUUUAUUAUGUAUUGAGACUUAUUUAUUUCCAAAAUUGAGCAACUGCAUAGGUUCUCAAGACAUCACUGUUGUAGUUAAAAUAUGUUUCUAAACAUGCCACUCUGAUUCUGUUAAUGGCUGUUAUAAUCAUGUUUUCCUAAUAUUUAUGGGAAAGAAACCCUCUCAAAUGACUGAAAAGGCUCAGGCUACUUCAGAACAAAGAAAAGAGGGAAUUUAGUUGGAUCCAUACUAGCAAUUAAGGGUCCAGUAGGGUUUUUAUUGUUAUUUGCUUGUAGCUAUUGUAAAUAGCUGUGGUAGUUUAUUUGCUUGAAUUGGAGAGUAGCCUAGAUGUAGUGAAAAAUUUUAGGGUGGUUAUAGAUUGAUGGAGAUAUAGAUCAGGGCUGUGGGCCUCACAAAAUGACUGGGAAGAGGAGAAGCAGCAGCAAAAUAAGCCAGAAAAUGUUGUUUGCCAAUUCACUGCUCCUGCUGCAUAGGAAUUCUAAAUGGAAAGAAGAAAUACCUGCAGCACUUCUGCCUUUAAUGGAUGGCAUGCAGGGCUGCAGGUAGGCAGGCAGGCAGGGUGGGUUCCCUUAGCAAAAGAGAAGCUUUCAGGAAAACUGGGGUUGAAGAGAUCCAGAAGUCUUCUUCAAUGUUUAUUUGAGGUUUGCAUGUUCUAAUGGAUGAGUGGAUCAUUAAAACAGUUCCUUUUCUCAAUAGGAAGUCGUGCAAUAUGUUACACGUGAAUCAUAAAGACAGCUGAAGAAUUAGGUAGUCUUAAAGUAAUUGUUUAAGACUAAUCAAAUAUAAAAGAUUUUGAUCAUAAGAGCUUUUUGUCUGGUAUCUGGGUGUAGUGGGUUUAUGUGGCAAGGUUUUGGUAGCAGGAGGCCGUAGGCGUGGCUUCUGUGAGAAGAACGUAGAAGAUGCCCCAUGUAAGGUAAGGGCCCCACUGCUGACCAGAGCCAAGCCAAUAAGUGAUGUUGUUUUGCGCCUCUGUGAGAGCAUAUUUAAGAUGGGGAAAAAAAACACUGCGCCACACAGCAGCUGGGAGAGUGAGAGGAGUGAGGAACAGCCUUGCAGGCGCCAAGGUCAGUGAAGAAGGAGGGGGAGAGGUGCUCCAGGCACCGGAGCAGAAGUCCCCUGCGGCCUGUGGUGAGAACCAUGGUGAAGCAGGCUGUCCCCCUGCAGCCCAUGGAGUACCACGGUGGAGCAGGGUUCCAUGCUGCAGCCCGUGGAGGAGACCACGGUGGAGCAGGUGGACCUGCACCGAUGGAGGCUGCGGCCUGUGGAAGACCCCUGCCAGAGCAGAUUCCGGGCUGGACCUGUAGCCCGUGGAGAGGAGCCCACGCAGGAGCAGGGGGUCUGGGGGGAGUUGCCACCUGUGGGGGACCCGUGCUGGAGCAGUUUGCUCCUGAGGGAUGGACCCCGUGGUACGGACCCAUAUCUGGAGCAGUUCUUGAAGAGCUGCUGCCUGUGGGCAGCCCACAUCGGAACAGUUCAGCAAGGACUGCAUCCCGUGGGAUGGACCCCACAGCACAGGGGACGAGAGUGACCGAGAAGGAGUGGUGGCAAAGAAGCGCUAUAGACUGACCAUAACCCCCAUUCCCCCGUUCCCCUGCGCUGCUUGGGGGGAAGAGAUGGAAGAGGGUGGAUGGGGGGAAGGUGCUUUUGGUUUCUUUCCGUUGUUUCUCGCUUCUCUAGCUUGUUAGUAAUAGGCAAUAAAUCUUACUAUCUCCCUA